UACGGAGGGUGCAAGCGUUAUCCGGAUUCACUGGGUUUAAAGGGCGCGUAGGCGGACAGGUAAGUCAGUGGUGAAAUCUCUGGGCUUAACCCAGAAACUGCCGUUGAUACUAUUUGUCUUGAAUAUCCUGGAGGUAGGCGGAAUAUGUCAUGUAGCGGUGAAAUGCUUAGAUAUGACAUAGAACACCGAUAGCGAAGGCAGCUUACUACAGGAUGAUUGACGCUGAGGCACGAAAGCGUGGGGAGCAGACAGG
rnacentral:rRNA from 1 species